AUGUCAGGGAGGAGAAACAGAGGCGGAGCAAGCGCGCCUCUUGCACUUGCUCCUGGGCCUGGACAGAGGCCACCGCCACCCUCCCAGAGCUCCAGGAGGCCGGCGGCCGCCACCUUGGAACAACGGCUGCUUUCCAGUGUCCAGCGGGAGAUAGACGACGCCAGGGCCAUGCAGCGCGCCGAGGCCGGACAAGGGAGCUCCUCCCUCUCCCACUCCACCUCCGCCCCGGCAUCAUCGCGGUCAAGAUUCUGGCCGCGAGCGCGGCAGGCGGCUAGGAAGGUUCUUGGCAUCAGCAAGAAACCCUCCGCGAGGUCAGCAGCAGGAACCCCGCACGGGCAGGACACGGUAGCUGAGGCCACCGGCACGUCGGAGUCGGCGGCCGUGGCGGCGGCAAGAACUGGGACCGGUGAUGAAGCCAGGUCGGAGCAGCAGCCUGUAGAGGUCGCCCGCACGCGGUCUGAGUUCGCCGCCAUGAUGCAAACUGCGUUGGCGAAGAUCCAGGAGGGUGCCGCGGCCGACGACCAAGCCCAAGGGCAGGCAGCGUUCGCCGAGAUGGAGAAGGCAAUGACCGGCCUCAUGGACCUCUCCCACAAGAAGACAUCGGGGCCACCGAAACUCCCUCGCGAUUUCGCUACCAAAUGGCCUCAUAGCGAUGGCGAUCCACUGCUUGGACGAGUAAUGAAAGAUCCUAUUAUAUUGGCUUCUGGAUAUACUGUUGAUAAAUCAUGCCAACAGUGGUCCCUUGCACAGAAAAAUACCUGCCCUGUUACUGGUCACUCCUUGCCCCACUCACUCACUGCUCCAAACCACCUCCUCCAUGACAUGAUUGCUGAGUGGUGCCUCGACCACUCUAACCUUGCCCGCUCCAGCAUUGGACGCUCGCUCCCCUUGGUGCCACCUGCAGAGGAUGAAAUUCAAGAGAUCCUAGAACUGUUCUCAGGGCAUUCAGUACGGCAGAAAGAGGCCUUGCGGAUGCUCAAUCUAAUGUCCAAAACAUCCAAGGGAAUGCAACCUUGCCUUGCCAAGUGGCCAGAGCUGACCCCACUGCUGAUGGAUCUUAGGAAGCAAUGGAUGAAUGUAUGGUCAGCUGAUAUUGAGGCGCUGAGGAUCUCAUUAAUCCAUAAUUUGUCCAUGCACAGGCCCAACAGGGAGAUCCUAGCCUGUCAGAAUGAAGUACCAGCUGUUCUAAAGAAUGUCGUCGAGAGGGCAGGAAAGCUUGGACUUUCAGCAUCAUUGUUGGCCAUGGUAGCUUCUAUAAUUGCAACACUGUCAGAGUUUGAUGUGUUCAGGAAAAGAAUGGUGACAAUAGGGGGAAUGAAAAUGCUCAGUGGUCUACUCAAGAUUGAGGAUGUUGUACUAAGGAAGGAGACUGGUGCUGCAAUCCUUGCACUCUGUGCAGAUGAGGAGGCCAAGUUAUCAGCUGCUGUUAGUGACGUGCCUGAUAAGCUGCUGGAAUGCUUCAUGGCCACUGAUGAGUUCCUGCUCCUGCUCAACCGUCUACCAAAAUCUCCAGAGGCGCUGGACAUGAUCUGUGACAAGGCUAUGGAAUUGGUGAAUAUCGUCAUGGAGGAAGAUGCUGGUGGAAUGGUGACCUCUCAGGGCAUCCACUCUGCGAUCUCCUUGAUCUUUGUCAUUACUGAGAGGGAUGUGGGUAAGCUGAAGGUGAAGAACGUGGAGGAUUUCAAGGAGCGGCUGCGGGAGCUUUCGUCGAAGAGAAUGCCGAUGCAGACGAUGUUUCAGGUGGAAAAAAUAAUCAAGGCCCUGUCAGAAAUGUUUCCAGCUCCUGCGACGCAGUGA
rnacentral:rRNA from 1 species